ensembl:snRNA U4 U4 spliceosomal RNA
AGCUUUGCACAGUGGCAGUAUCAUAGCUAAUGAGGUUUAUCCAAAGUGCGAUUAUUGCUGAUUGAACACUUUGCCCAAUACCCCGCCAUGACGUCUUGAAAUGUAAUCGAUGUUGGCAAUUUUUGGCAGUCUCUACAGGGA